rnacentral:rRNA from 1 species
CCGUAGCCCAAGAGAUCGGGAUAACACCUGGAAACAGAUGCUAAUACCGGAUACAACAGAUGAUGCCUAUCAACUGUUUAAAAGAUGGUUCUGCUAUCACUCUUGGAUGGACCUGCGGUGCAUUAGCUAGUUGGUAGGGUAACGGCCUACCAAGGCGAUGAUGCAUAGCCGAGUUGAGAGACUGAUCGGCCACAUUGGGACUGAGACACGGCCCAAACUCCUACGGGAGGCAGCAGCG